UAAUUAACCGGAGCUUUGUUUCGAUCGACGCGACACUGCACUGUUGAGGUAAGCUUCCCGGGUUAUUUAAGGCGGUAUUUGGUGACUGGCGGCAUACUUACUUGGUGUAGAGGUCAACCGUGAUCACUGUGGCGGUUCCUCCAGGACGAGACUUUCCCAUUGCACUUCGGGACGGUUGACCCCUGCGAGUAUUCCUAACCGGAAUUUCUCGGACACAUAAUUUUUGGUAGUGGGACUGCGUUCGCGCUGUCCCUGA